UACAGAGGGUGCGAGCGUUAAUCGGAAUUACUGGGCGUAAAGCGUGCGUAGACGGCUAAUCUAAGUCGGGUGUGAAAGCCCCGGGCUCAACCUGGGAAUUGCAUUCGAGACUGAAUAGCUAGGGUACGGUAGAGGGAAGCGGAAUUUCCGGUGUAGCGGUGAAAUGCGUAGAUAUCGGAAGGAACAUCAGUGGCGAAAGCGGCUUCCUGGACCAGUACCGACGUUCAGGCACGAAGCGUGGGGAGCAAACAGGA
rnacentral:rRNA from 1 species